GGCCUUUCUUCUAUCGCUCGUUCGGGCCUACACUCCUCUGGAAACUCCAAAACCCAAACCGCUCGAGCUCGCCGGAGAAGGAAGACAGAUCUCUUGGGCCUUGGCGGUCACCCGGUGACGGUGGUUCUCAGUAUCGAGUUCAGCUGAUUGUCUCUGGUGCCGGUUGCAGUCGCUUGCCAUCGUUGUGACCUGAAUCUCGCUUCCGAGGGAUUACCGUCGGUUUCGUCUCCCCAGAGCCAUGACAGAGACCAAGUCCAAGAGGCUUCUGAUUCUAUACGCGACUCAGACCGGAAACGCCAUGGACGCGGCGGAGCGCAUUGGCCGCGAGGCCGAGCGCGGGGGCUGUCCCGCUUCCCUCCUUUCCAUGGACGAAUAUGAUGUCAGUUUGUUGCCUCUCGAGGAAACUGUGGUGUUUGUGGUUUCUACCACGGGCCAGGGGGAUACACCAGAUUCCAUGAAGGUCUGUUGGAGGUUUCUACUGCAGAGAAAUCUAAACCGGCAUUGGUUAGAGGGACUUCAUUAUGCCGUGUUUGGGUUAGGUGAUUCUGGUUACCAGAAAUACAAUUUUGUUGCCAAAAAACUUGAUAAGCGACUUUCUGAUCUUGGAGCACAGGCCAUUGUCGAAAGAGGUUUAGGGGAUGACCAGCAUCCUUCAGGGUAUGAAGCUGCUCUGGAUCCUUGGUCGUCAUCCUUGUGGAGAAUGUUAAAUCAGAUGAAUCCAAAGUUAUUUCCUGAUGGUCGAGAUUAUGUGAUAUCAGAUAAGAAAUUCCUGGAUCUGCCAAAGGUUCAGAUCAGAUACCAUGCUGCUGAUGAAGUGAAUCUGCAGUAUUUAGUUGGCUCAGGCUUGUCUUGCACAGAGACUGAAAUCGAGAAGGCUCGCUCUAUGUCUCCUGGAAGAUUCUCUGGUCGCCAUACAAGACCUGAUUGCUUUCUUAAAUUGGUGAAAAAUCAUUGCUUGACCAAGGCAGGCUGUGGAAAGGAUGUGCGUCACCUUGAAUUUAACUUUGAGUCAACUGCUAUUGAAUAUGAUGUAGGUGACGUUCUGGAAAUUCUUCCUGGUCAAGAUCCUGAGGCAGUAGAUGCUUUCUUGGAGCGUUGUCAUUUGGAUCCUGAAUCAUUCAUUACGAUUCAUCCAACAAAACAGGAUAAUCGAAUUAUAGCCAAUGGAAUAAGUGCCUCAAUAGUCCCCAUCAAAUUAAGGACCUUCGUUGAGUUGGCAAUGGAUAUUUCAUCAGCAUCACCGCGACGUUACUUCUUUGAGGUAAUGAGUUAUUUUGCUACAGCCGAACAUGAAAAGGAAAGGCUUCAAUAUUUUGCAUCAGCUGAAGGAAGAGAUGAUCUAUACCAAUACAACCAAAAAGAGCGAAGAUCUGUUUUGGAGGUGUUACAAGAUUUCCCUUCUGUACAACUGCCGCUGGAGUGGUUGGUCCAGUUGGUCCCUCCAUUAAAAACUAGGGCUUUCUCCAUUUCAUCAUCUCCUUCAGCCCAUCCUAAUCAAGUCCACUUAACUGUGAAUGUUGUGUCUUGGAUGACACCUUUUAAGAGGAAUCGAGCAGGGCUUUGCUCAAUGUGGCUGGCCAAUCUUGAUCAGGGUGCUCUUAUUCCGGCAUGGUUUCAGAAAGGUUCACUUUGUCCCCCACCACCAUCGCUGCCUGUCAUCCUCAUUGGACCUGGAACUGGAUGUGCUCCAUUUCGUGGUUUUGUCGAGGAAAGAGUCAUUCAAAGUCAGUCUACAUGGACUGCUCCUAUCAUUUUCUUCUUUGGUUGCCGAAAUGAGGAAAAUGAUUUUCUGUACAGAGAUUUUUGGUUUGAUCAUUCACAAAAUGACGGGGUUCUCUCUGAUGCCAAGGGCGGGGGCCUUUUCGUUGCUUUUUCGAGAGACCAACCUCAGAAGGUAUACGUGCAAGAUAAGAUACGGGAACACAGCCAAGUGGUAUGGAAUUUGUUGAACUCGGGAGCUGCCAUCUACGUCGCAGGUUCUUCAACUAAAAUGCCCUCUGAUGUUUGGUCAGCAUUUGAAGACAUCAUAUCUAAAGACGGUGCAGUUUCGAGGGAAUCUGCUGUUCGGUGGCUUAGGGCACUGGAGAAGGCUGGUAAGUAUCAUGUUGAAGCUUGGUCUUGAAUUUGCCCCAACUCUUCUUCAGACAGAACGGUGGAGGAAACAAGGAUGACCCGGCCUUGUGUAGAAGAGCUGUUUUUCGGAACUUUUAAGUUUUUCAACCUUCAUGCAAAGAUACACAUCCUUUUAAUCAGGAAGUCAGAUCUUUUCCUGGCGUUACCAGGCUGGCGAGCUUGAAGGAGGAUGGUCAAGGAUUUGACAUCAGUGCAGUAUUUAACUUAUGCACUUCAACCAUUUUUAGCAUGAACCCUGUAAGAGACUAUAAAUUCCAGUUUUUUGUGCAUUUUAAUGAUCACGGAUGUAAUUGGA